rnacentral:tRNA from 1 species
GGAGGGGUUCCCGAGUGGCCAAAGGGAACAGACUGUAAAUCUGUCGGCUCAGCCUUCGGAGGUUCGAAUCCUCCCACCUCCACCA